UAACGAACCUUUCCCUUACGAUUAGUAUUAAAGUUUCGAAGCACUUUGAAACUUCUAUCAAUGGCUGUGAUUGGUCGCGCCAUGUUGGCGUCCUCUUAUUUCGACCAAUCAGACUCGUCGUUGUGUGAGCGAGUGCGUCGAUUUGUGGCGCAGUGCAGCAUUCCUCUUCGAAGCUUCGUCUGAUUUCCACGUGUCUGCAACAGACCUGUUCGUGUACUUCGUUAGGUAUCGGCCGAUAGCAGAAUAUACCGAACAUUUCCGAGUGUUGCCGAAGUGCCGACCGGUCUACGAUGGGAAGGAAGGUCUCGCCAUUGCUCUCUCGAGCGUCGAACUGACAGGACGUGUUGAGAGCAGCCUUCCGCAUAAAUAAUAGAUAUUUGAUAGAUUUUGAAAGGACGCCACGACACCUGAUAUGGGUUUGCAAUAUAAUUUCAUAAGAAUUUAUUGUUUUAAUUUAUUCUAAUCAAUUAUUAACGUUUAUUAUUACUUUUUUUUCAUUGAGUCGUUGUUUUUUGAUAGUUAAUUGGUACCAAGGUACCAAGAAAGAAAAGAUUAGAGAUAUUUUUGUUCUUUAAUCAAUUCAUAGGAAAAGAAUAAUUAAUUUUUCAUUUUA